AACGAACGCUGGCGGCAUGCCUAACACAUGCAAGUCGAACGAAGGCUUCGGCCUUAUUGGCGCACGGGUGCGUAACGCGUGGGAAUCUGCCCUUUGGUUCGGUAUAACAGCUGGAAACGGCUGCUAAUACCGGAUGAUGACGAAAGUCCAAAGAUUUAUGGCGAGGGGAUGAGCCCGCGUUGGAUUAGGUAGUUGGUGGGGUAAAGGCCUACCAAGCCGGCGAUCCAUAGCUGGUCUGAGAGGAUGAUCAGCCACACUGGGACUGAGACACGGCCCAGACUCCUACGGGAGGCAGCAGUGGGGAAUAUUGGAGAAUGGGCGCAAGCCUGAUCCAGCAAUGCCGGGUGAGUGAUGAAGGCGCUAGGGUUGUAAAGCUCUUUUACCCGGGAAGAUAAUGACGGUACCGGGAGAAUAAGCCCCGGCUAACUACGUG
rnacentral:rRNA from 1 species